rnacentral:rRNA from 1 species
AUUGAACGCUGGCGGCAGGCCUAACACAUGCAAGUCGAGCGGUAGAGAGGUGCUUGCAUCUCUUGAGAGCGGCGGACGGGUGAGUAAUGCCUAGGAAUCUGCCUAGUGGUGGGGGAUAACGUUCGGAAACGGACGCUAAUACCGCAUACGUCCUACGGGAGAAAGCGGGGGAUCUUCGGACCUCGCGCCAUUAGAUGAGCCUAGGUCGGAUUAGCUAGUUGGUGAGGUAAUGGCUCACCAAGGCGACGAUCCGUAACUGGUCUGAGAGGAUGAUCAGUCACACUGGAACUGAGACACGGUCCAGACUCCUACGGGAGGCAGCAGUGGGGAAUAUUGGACAAUGGGCGCAAGCCUGAUCCAGCCAUGCCGCGUGUGUGAAGAAGGCCUCGGUUGUAAC